UGGUCAAGUUAUUAAGGGUGCAGGGCGGAUGCCUUGGCACUAGGAGCCGAUGAAGGACGUGAUAAGCUGCGAUAAGCUUCGGGGAGUUGCACGUAAAC
rnacentral:rRNA from 1 species